AUGAAAGAGAGAUUGCCACAAAAUUGAGGUCUGAAUCUACAAAUUUUUCAAGUCCAAAAUCUGGGAGAUUUAUUUUGGACCCGAAUCUGGCUAGCUAGCACAAGGGUGAUUUGUCCACAAAUCACCCAAAACAGGUAGAUUUGGAUACAAAUCGUUUUGUACCCAUAUCAGUCCACACAUUCUUAGUCACCCGUUCACUUAGUGGCAACUCAGAGGUGAGCCUUCCCUAUAGUUGCCGAGGGCUGUCAAACACACCUCCUGUUGAAAUCAGAGCAGCUCCAUCCUCAAUGGUUUUUAUGAAACAUGAAGAUAUGCCAGCUGGUGCUGAAGGAGUGAAUCAUUCCAGGACCUCAGAGUGAAGAUCUACCUACCUCCUGGACACAGCUGUAGAGACACCAUCACAACAACACCUGGAAUUCAACUCUGGUCCCCAUCCAGUCUACCUAUCUCUGCAACAACUCUUCAUCAAAUAACUCUUUAGCAAGUGGCUGCUUGUAGAAGGCAUUCCCCUUUUUUCUUUUGUUGCAUAAUAGAGUUUCAUGCCUAUAAAAUGCCAUUUUCAUUUA